rnacentral:rRNA from 1 species
AACGAACGCUGGCGGCAUGCCUAACACAUGCAAGUCGAACGAGAUCUUCGGGUCUAGUGGCGCACGGGUGCGCAACGCGUGGGAAUCUGCCCUUUGGUUCGGAAUAACAGUUGGAAACGACUGCUAAUACCGGAUGAUGACGAAAGUCCAAAGAUUUAUCGCCAGAGGAUGAGCCCGCGUAGGAUUAGCUAGUUGGUGUGGUAAAGGCGCACCAAGGCGACGAUCCUUAGCUGGUCUGAGAGGAUGAUCAGCCACACCGGGACUGAGACACGGCCCAGACUCCUACGGGAGGCAGCAGUGGGGAAUAUUGGACAAUGGGCGAAAGCCUGAUCCAGCAAUGCCGCGUGAGUGAUGAAGGCCUUAGGGUUGUAAAGCUCUUUUACCCGGGAUGAUAAUGACAGUACCGGGGGAAUAAGCUCCGGCUAACUCCGUGCCAGCCGCCGCAGUAA